CUCCAGAGUCACCAUGUGAGCCCAGGAAGACAGGACACUUGUCGCUGGGGUCCAAUAAGCUGGAUUGGCAUAGCUGUGAGGAGGUCCUGGCCACUGACAGUAGCAGAAGCUUAGGCUUCCUUUUCCAUUUAUGCCACCCUCAUUCCACAGAAGGGCACUGAGUGGAAGAUGGUUGAAACUGUCUUGUGCUGCUGAUCAGAAGAUAAAGAGAAGGAGCCAACACUGUUCUCUCAUGCAGCUGACGACUUUGAGGAGCAGAGAUGCAGACAGAGCUGAGCGGAACACAGGGCUGUGGAUGAAGCUAUUUCCUGGACCUCCCUCCUCUGUUCUUCUCUGCCAGGCUGAGUCGCUAGAUCCCACUUUGUGUGAGCAGACUCAAGUUGUAUUCAUCUGGAGAUAUGGGAUAAUCUUUGAAAGGCAAUGAAAUUUCCUACAAGAACUUGCUACAGACAAGGGACACAGCUGCUGAGAAGCCUUUGAGAAGAAACGCCAUUUCAGAACAUGACAAACCACUGCCUUUAAAGAUGUAGAAGGCAUGUCUCAUAGAUAUUUGUGAGCUGUUUGUUAGCUACAGGGCUGAAGGAGCUUGGGUUUUAGGGACUUGGUAUUUUCAUAGAAAACAGAGCUCAUAUCACACCACUGUAGAGUAAAACCAAUGCAACGUCUAAACGUUUUGGUAAAAGGAAAGUUUUAAAGACAUUCACUAAAUGAAGGCCUACGGAGAUUAAUAAGUACUCCAGGAGAGAGUAGAUGAGUGAGACUUACGUUUCCUGUGUCUCCAUGACUCUAAGUGUCCAGAAAGGUUCAAUGCCAUCCAAGGAGACACAGUAGGCUUCCCUUUGACUGUCAGAGCAUCUAGGCACCCAGGGAAAUCCACUUUUCCCGAAGAGUCUUCCACUAGGGAAGGAAGACAUGUUGGAUGUGGAGUGUGGCUUGUUUGAUGGAAGAGGCUGCACACAGUACGGGUCAGGCUGGGAAGUAGGAGCUGAGAUAAUGAAGAUCAUGGGUAAGUUAGUGAUGGGCAGGACCACACCCUGCCCAGAGCUGCUCAGUUUUGAUGCUUACAUUCAAUUCAGUACUAAACCUCCUUUCUGUGCCCUAAAGAUAGACUUGGGUGUGUCUUUUUAUCUUUUCAAAUAUGGCUACAUUAAAUAAAUCUCCUUUCUCUGCUUUACAAAAAUCAAUUAUUUCUUUAAUUGGCCUGUUAAGGAUAGAUGGCAAGCCUAACCUAAUAGAGCUACGAGAACCCAGGCUCUGACCUGACAUUUCCAGCAAUAUUACCUUUCGAUAUGAUGAGACAAGGAUCAUUUGUUGGGCAGCAAUUUAAACUUCAAAGGAGCUCAAAUCUCUAGUUUACAAGUCCUUACUUAGCAUUGGUGACAUAAAACAAGUGAUUCUCUCUUUUCUUCUCACUGGUAGCCUUUCUCCAUGGUUCUUUCCUUUGUAUAUCGUCAGUGAGGUUCAAAUGCACUGAGGUUCAAAUGAAGAAUGCAAAGCAAUCUGCCCUUCACCUCUCACCACAAAUAAGACCUACUGAAGGCAGCAGGAUGAACAACUGCAGGAAAUUAGCAUAGAAUAGAGCUUUGUAAAAGAAGAAAAACUCACUUCUUACAGUUGUGGUCUUAGUUUUGUUUCUAUUUUUGUGAUAGAGAUCAUGACCUAAGGCAACUUGGGUGGAAAGGGCUUAUUUGGCUUAAAAUUUUUAGUUUUUUAUUAGGGGAUGCUGAAGCAGGAACUCAAGGCAGGGACCAGGAGGCAAUAAUCAAAGCAGAGACUAGAGAAGAUUAAUUCUUACUGGCUCACUAGAUGGCUUGAUAAAUUUGCCUCCUUAUCUGUCUCAGGACCACUGCCCAGGGUUGAUACAACACUCAGUGGCUGAACCCUUCCAUGUCAACCAUUAAUCAAAACCAAAAAUGUUUCAAGGACUUGACCACAGGUUAAUCUGAUGGGAUCAUUUUCUGGAUUGGGGUUCUCUUCACACAUCACACUAGCUUGUAUCAAGUCAACAACAACAACAACAACAACAACAACAACAAACCUCACCAACAUAUUUCUAGGGUCUUGAACACCAAAAUCACAGACCAGUGCAAUGGGUCAGGUUCUCUAGAGCCUCUGCUUCUAAGGGCAGUAAUCACUUCCAGGAGGACCCUGUCUCCUUUACUCAAUCACCUCUCAAAAGCCCUGUACUAUGCACCGUUUUCAUCACUAUGAUAAAAUAUCAUCAAGAAGUGAAUGAGAGAGAGAGAGAGAGAGAGAGAGAGAGAGAGAGAGAGGAAAGGUUUGUUUUGCCACAUGGUUUGAGGGAUGCAGUCCAUGGUAAUGGGAAGACAUGAUAAGGUGCAACUUUGUGGCAGUGGCAUCUUCACAUCGCAGCAGAAUAGCAUAGAUGGGCAGGAAACAGUACUGAGCAAUAUAUCCUCAGAGCCUGCACCCAGUGACCCAAUCCCUCCAUCAGUUCCAUCUCCUAAAGCCUCCAGAGCCUUCCAAAACAGUGUCAUCAGCUGGAGGCAAAGAGUUCCAGCACAUGAACCUGUUGGGAACAUUUUGCUCUUAAACCAAAGCAGAUUCAAACUCUUAAAAACCAUGAUAAUGAGGAUCAGACUCACACACCUUCUCCGUACCACCCACUUCCAGUACAUGUGUACUCAGGGCAUACAAAACAUCAGUGGACAUCAAGAAGCAACAGCUAAAACAAUGCAAAGUCUUAGAAGCAACACCUUUAUACACAGCACCUGCCGCUAAGUCAGAGAAUAGCCAUGCCCCAGGUCCUCGUGUUUGUUGAAGUGACUAGAAAAUAGGCAUCUAAUUAUUCAUCCACUUUAAACUAUUUCUAGAGUCACAACUCUCUCGUGCCUUUGGAGCAUGCUGUAUUCAUUCCACAGACACACAACAAAAACACCCAUUCCUAAACCAACCUUUUGUGACUAAGAACCGUAUUCUUAAGCAAACAGAACUGUGUGCUGUUUGUUCCCGACCCAAGCUGAGAUUUGUUGUGCUUUCUGCAGCGGUUCUUCAUUUCUGCCUUCCCCUGUCGCGUUGGUACAUAUGCCUCCUCUUUAUAUUCCUGUCUUCCUGUGUGGAAGUCUGAGGAACGCUAGUCCCUGCUGAUGAGCACACCCAUGCUGGCUGAUUCAUGGGGUGGGGUGGGAAUCUGCUCCUCCAUAUUUUGACUCACUGCAGGGAAGAGGCACACUGCAAGCUGUCUGCUUGCAGGGUUAGAAGAGAGACAGGGAAGCAAGAUGAAAGGGUAGAAAAGGAGUUAGGAGAGGUUCUGCUUGUAAGAAUGGCUCAGAGCCUGGUGAGGGGAGAGACACAAGCAAAUACCUGGCGGAUUUCACUGUAAACAUGGGCAUCACAGGCGUCUGCUCUCAGCUCCUCUUUUUCUACUGAUGUCUCGCCUGAUGCAUUCAGAUGAUGGCCCAGAUGGGCAGAGGAAGUCUGUUCCUUAACCCUUAGCAUAGUGUGCAGCCUGCACUGUCAAAGUGCCACCAUCAGCACUGAGGACAAGAAGAAGCAGCACCGCCACUAGAAAUAGUGACUUUAUUGCCUUAUGGAAGGAAGCUGCUCCGGGCCAGAAUCCAGGUGAUACUAUACACUGUUCUCUGAGUUCAUCAGACAAACAGUGAACAGCCAAACCAGUCACCGCCUUCCUUCAUCAAAGCAUAGAUUUUAGCCUUAGAUGGGGGCCCUAAAUUCCUUUUAUUCUAAGGUCUGUGCUUGCAACUGCCUUGCAAAGGAAUAUCAACACUCUGAACUGUAGACAGCAAACUAGACUUUGAUAUUCAGAACUUAAAUUAUACUUUUACUCCAGGCCUCAGCAAACCACUUUCUUAUAAAUCAAUCUUCUUUUAAAGUAGGAAAGCCAAGCUUGAGGUCACAAAUUAGUCAGUUCCUGAAACUGCAACCAAGUCAGUUAGACUAGGUAAUUCAUAAGGAACACACACUCACUUCUUACGGU